rnacentral:lncRNA from 1 species
UAUAACUGUCACAGAACCCAAAUAUAGUGCUAACAAUCUUACCCAAACCAGUAGUGAAAUAGAGUUGCUCUUUUUUCUGAAAGCGAUCUAAAAAAAAAAAAAAAAUCCACCUGAGUAUCGUUAUGAAAUUAUCUUUGUCUUCAACCCUAUGACAUCAAUUGCUGAUGUUGAUUCCUCAAGUGCAAUGACCGAAGUAAAUCCUUCAACUAUUAGCAAUGAUGUGAAGGAUUCAACUCAAAUGAACACCAGUUCAGACACAACAGACGCAAAAGGCAAACAAAAGAUACAGAACACAAAUGUUGAACUUUCCACGAACAUGAAAGAAACCAUUGUACCUUCUGCAAAAAGACCUCUCUUCCAAACACCAGCUGAAAAUAUUGAAAUGGAGUCAAAGGCAAAAAAGAGAAUACCAAAUCCUAUGAGUCCGAUGACCACACCAGUAUUAUCGUUUUGAAGAAAAAACAUGAAUGAUAAAACAUUUACAUCACUUUUGUACCUAGGCAGUUGUUGCAUAGUAUACCCAAAAAAGCAACCUCAUUUGCCUAUGUAAAGGAACUUACCUCAGUCUGUAAUUAGAACUACACCAAUGACUCUUGUCUUCCAAGUGAAUGGGUUGCUUUACAUAUUUUGAAUCUAUAUUCGUUCUAGAAUAUGCAAACACCAUCAGCUGCCAAUGAUAACUGCUUGUACAGUUGCUACUAAUGAUCUAUG